rnacentral:rRNA from 1 species
CAGUCGAACGAUGAUGCCCAGCUUGCUGGGUGGAUUAGUGGCGAACGGGUGAGUAACACGUGAGUAACCUGCCCCUGACUCUGGGAUAAGCGUUGGAAACGACGUCUAAUACUGGAUAUGACUGCCGGCCGCAUGGUCUGGUGGUGGAAAGAUUUUUUGGUUGGGGAUGGACUCGCGGCCUAUCAGCUUGUUGGUGAGGUAAUGGCUCACCAAGGCGACGACGGGUAGCCGGCCUGAGAGGGUGACCGGCCACACUGGGACUGAGACACGGCCCAGACUCCUACGGGAGGCAGCAGUGGGGAAUAUUGCACAAUGGGCGAAAGCCUGAUGCAGCAACGCCGCGUGAGGGAUGACGGCCUUCGGGUUGUAAACCUCUUUUAGUAGGGAAGAAGCGUAAGUGACGGUACCUGCAGAAAAAGCACCGGCUAACUACGUGCCAGCAGCCGCGGUAAUACGUAGGGUGCAAGCGUUGUCCGGAAUUAUUGGGCGUAAAGAGCUCGUAGGCGGUUUGUCGCGUCUGCUGUGAAAUCCCGAGGCUCAACCUCGGGCUUGCAGUGGGUACGGGCAGACUAGAGUGCGGUAGGGGAGAUUGGAAUUCCUGGUGUAGCGGUGGAAUGCGCAGAUAUCAGGAGGAACACCGAUGGCGAAGGCAGAUCUCUGGGCCGUAACUGACGCUGAGGAGCGAAAGCGUGGGGAGCGAACAGGAUUAGAUACCCUGGUAGUCCACGCCGUAAACGUUGGGCGCUAGAUGUAGGGACCUUUCCACGGUUUCUGUGUCGUAGCUAACGCAUUAAGCGCCCCGCCUGGGGAGUACGGCCGCAAGGCUAAAACUCAAAGGAAUUGACGGGGGCCCGCACAAGCGGCGGAGCAUGCGGAUUAAUUCGAUGCAACGCGAAGAACCUUACCAAGGCUUGACAUACACCGGAAACGGCCAGAGAUGGUUGCCCCCUUGUGGUCGGUGUACAGGUGGUGCAUGGUUGUCGUCAGCUCGUGUCGUGAGAUGUUGGGUUAAGUCCCGCAACGAGCGCAACCCUCGUUCUAUGUUGCCAGCGCGUUAUGGCGGGGACUCAUAGGAGACUGCCGGGGUCAACUCGGAGGAAGGUGGGGAUGACGUCAAAUCAUCAUGCCCCUUAUGUCUUGGGCUUCACGCAUGCUACAAUGGCCGGUACAAAGGGCUGCGAUACCGUAAGGUGGAGCGAAUCCCAAAAAGCCGGUCUCAGUUCGGAUUGAGGUCUGCAACUCGACCUCAUGAAGUCGGAGUCGCUAGUAAUCGCAGAUCAGCAACGCUGCGGUGAAUACGUUCCCGGGCCUUGUACACACCGCCCGUCAAGUCAUGAAAGUCGGUAACACCCGAAGCCGGUGGCCUAA